rnacentral:rRNA from 1 species
UACGGAGGGUGCGAGCGUUGUCCGGAAUCAUUGGGCGUAAAGGGCGCGUAGGUGGCGGGACAAGCGUGCGGUGAAAGCUCGGGGCUCAACCCCGAGUCGGCCGUGCGAACUGUCUUGCUUGAGCACUGUAGAGGCAGGCGGAAUUCCGGGUGUAGCGGUGGAAUGCGUAGAUAUCGGAAGGAACACCAGUGGCGAAGGCGGCUACCUGGAUUGACACUGACACUGAGGCGCGAGAGCGUGGGGAGCAAACAGG